rnacentral:misc_RNA from 1 species
UCCGGUUUAACACCGGCAGUCUCACUAGAGUGCUCAGCCUAACCUGUUAGCAACAGAGAAUGAGGGUUGCGCUCGUUGCGGGACUUAACCCAACAUCUCACGACACGAGCUGACGACAGCCAUGCAGCACCUGUGCAUCUCCCACCCGAAGUGAAGGAAUGCUUUUCGGCAUUCCAUAGAGAGCAUGUCAAACCCUGGUAAGGUUCUUCGCGUUGCCUCGAAUUAAACCACAUGUUCCACCGCUUGUGCGGGUCCCCGUCAAUUUCUUUGAGUUUUAAUCUUGCGACCGUACUCCCCAGGCGGGGUGCUUAACGCGUUAGCUACGCUACUGAGAGGUAACCCCCCAACAGCUAGCACCCAUCGUUUACAGCGUGGACUAC